GGAAGUAAAAGUUGUAACAAGGUAUCCGUAGGUGAACCUGCGGAAGGAUCAUUAUUGUAUAACCGAGGUGCGAGGGCUGUCGCUGACCCGAAAGGUCGUGCACGCCCGAGUGCCCUCACACAUCCAUCUCACCCCUAUGUGCACCACCGCGUGGGUCCCCCUUUGGCUUGUUCGGAGGGGGGCUUACGUUUUCACACAAACUUUGUAUGCAGUGUAGAAUGUAUUUUUUGUUUUUGCGAUCACGCAAUCAAUACAACUUUCAACAACGGAUCUCUUGGCUCUC
rnacentral:misc_RNA from 1 species